rnacentral:rRNA from 1 species
AGAGUUUGAUCAUGGCUCAGAACGAACGCUGGCGGCGUGCUUAACACAUGCAAGUCGAACGGAAAGGCCCUUCGGGGUACUCGAGUGGCGAACGGGUGAGUAACACGUGGGUGAUCUGCCCUGCACUUUGGGAUAAGCCUGGGAAACUGGGUCUAAUACCGAAUAUGACCAUGCGCCUCCUGGUGUGUGGUGGAAAGCUUUUGCGGUGUGGGAUGGGCCCGCGGCCUAUCAGCUUGUUGGUGGGGUAAUGGCCUACCAAGGCGACGACGGGUAGCCGGCCUGAGAGGGUGACCGGCCACACUGGGACUGAGAUACGGCCCAGACUCCUACGGGAGGCAGCAGUGGGGAAUAUUGCACAAUGGGCGCAAGCCUGAUGCAGCGACGCCGCGUGAGGGAUGACGGCCUUCGGGUUGUAAACCUCUUUCAGCACAGACGAAGCGCAAGUGACGGUAUGUGCAGAAGAAGGACCGGCCAACUACGUGCCAGCAGCCGCGGUAAUACGUAGGGUCCGAGCGUUGUCCGGAAUUACUGGGCGUAAAGAGCUCGUAGGUGGUUUGUCGCGUUGUUCGUGAAAACUCACAGCUUAACUGUGGGCGUGCGGGCGAUACGGGCAGACUUGAGUACUGCAGGGGAGACUGGAAUUCCUGGUGUAGCGGUGGAAUGCGCAGAUAUCAGGAGGAACACCGGUGGCGAAGGCGGGUCUCUGGGCAGUAACUGACGCUGAGGAGCGAAAGCGUGGGGAGCGAACAGGAUUAGAUACCCCGGUAGUCCAA